rnacentral:ncRNA from 1 species
CGAGGAAGGGCAUAGCAAGCAACGAAAUGCUUCGGGGAGUUGAAAAUAAGCAUAGAUCCGGAGAUUCCCAAAUAGGUCAACCUUUUGAACUGCCCGCUGAAUCCAUGAGCAGGCAAGAG